rnacentral:tRNA from 1 species
GUAGAGUUAGCUUAUAGAAGUAAAGCACCUAACUGUUAAUUAGAAGAAUAUACUCUUCG